rnacentral:rRNA from 1 species
CUACGGGUGGCAGCAGUGGGGAAUAUUGGACAAUGGGCGAAAGCCUGAUCCAGCCAUGCCGCGUGUGUGAAGAAGGCCUUCGGGUUGUAAAGCACUUUCAGUGGGGAAGAAAGCCUUGGGGCUAAUACCCUCGAGGAAGGACAUCACCCACAGAAGAAGCACCGGCUAACUCCGUGCCAGCAGCCGCGGUAAUACGGAGGGUGCGAGCGUUAAUCGGAAUUACUGGGCGUAAAGCGCGCGUAGGCGGUCUGAUAAGCCGGUUGUGAAAGCCCCGGGCUCAACCUGGGAACGGCAUCCGGAACUGUCAGGCUAGAGUGCAGGAGAGGAAGGUAGAAUUCCCGGUGUAGCGGUGAAAUGCGUAGAGAUCGGGAGGAAUACCAGUGGCGAAGGCGGCCUUCUGGACUGACACUGACGCUGAGGUGCGAAAGCGUGGGUAGCAAACAGGAUUAGAUACCCCGUAGUC